AGUAAACAAGUUCAAUUGUGUGAGAUUGCAUAAUGGUUGUGCAAAGAUGGAAGCUAGUCAGUCAGACAUCAAAGCAUUAUUAUUGCAUUUAAAAGGUUACAUAUGUAGUGUCAUAAAAAAUAAAAAUAUAGGUUACAUAUCGUAUAUUGAACCUUAUUCUUGUAUUUUUUUUUCAUGCAUUUACCAACUCGUUUGAGUCCUAAAAUUGAUCAGCGGAGUGAAAACUGGUAAAUACGGGAACUUAUGCAGUUAUGCUACAAUACAUGUUCGUUCUUCUUCUGUCCAUUGAUCCUCAAAUCUUCACAUCUUUCUGGAAUGCCUGAAAUAAGAUGAAACAUCAUAACUGAACUGUGCUUCCCAAUCAUAAAUUUCUAAUGCAUGCCUAACUGAAAAUAUAAUGGUAUGAUAUAAUUUUAGUAAUACAGUAAAUCUCAAAUGGGUUUUUUUUUGCGUUUCAUUUAAUAGUCAUUAAAAAUGGGUUAUGAUUGAUGAAAGAGAAAAACAAGAGAAUCAUGCGAAAGAACUGCUGUACCUUAUAUCUCUGAUGAUUCUUGUUUGAACCUUUGGCCUUCUCUGCACCACUUCUUGACAUUGAACUCUAUCUCGCCUUUGUCGAGUUGGCUUUGCCAAUGCUGAUUUCUUUAUCUCUUCAUUGUUUAUAACACUAUUUUCCUCAUGGGAUGAAUCCAUAAUUUCUUCAUAUGACGCUGAUGCAGCCCAAAGUAGCAUAAGGAGAUUCAAUUGUAGAAGAAAAGGUGACGAUGAAGAUGAAUGAUCAACAUCUUCCUCCUCUUCCUCUACAUCUACAUCAAGUUGAUGUGUUGUUUCUUCUAUAAUCUCGUCAGACAUUUAGCUUAGAUUCUUCCUCACAAAUCCGAAAGUAAUACAGGAGUGUUAUAUUUAUAUAAAAGAUGUAGAAAAGAAGAAAAUGGUAGAAACUUCAAAGAAACUCACA
rnacentral:lncRNA from 1 species